UUGUCUCAAAGAUUAAGCCAUGCAUGUCUCAGUACAAACCGAAAUAAGGUGAAACCGCGAAAGGCUCAUUAUAUCAGUUAUGGUUCAUUAGAUCGUACCCACAUUUACUUGGAUAACUGUGGUAAUUCUAGAGCUAAUACAUGCAUACAGAACUCCGACCGGAGACGGAAGGAGCGCUUUUAUUAGAUCAAAACCAACACGGGCGGCGGAGGCCGGCUUCGUCUCGCGCGUCGUCGCGUUUUCGCCGUCUCACACAUAGCUCGCACGACGAAUCUGAAUAACUUUAUGCCGAUCGCACGGUCACGCACCGGCGACGCAUCUUUCAAAUGUCUGCCUUAUCAACUUUCGAUGGUAGGUUAUGCGCCUACCAUGGUUGUAACGGGUAACGGGGAAUCAGGGUUCGAUUCCGGAGAGGGAGCCUGAGAAACGGCUACCACAUCCAAGGAAGGCAGCAGGCGCGCAAAUUACCCACUCCCGGCACGGGGAGGUAGUGACGAAAAAUAACGAUACGGGACUCAUCCGAGGCCCCGUGAUCGGAAUGAGCACACUUUAAAUCCUUUAACGAGGAUCAAUUGGAGGGCAAGUCUGGUGCCAGCAGCCGCGGUAAUUCCAGCUCCAAUAGCGUAUAUUAAAGUUGCUGCGGUUAAAAAGCUCGUAGUCGAAAUUGUGUCCUCGGCCGCCGGUUCGUCGCUCGCGACGCCAACUGGCGCGCACGCUGGACGUCCAGCCGGUACUACGAACUCGCCUACGGGGUGCUCUUAACCGAGUGUCCAGGCGGGGGCCGGCAACGUUACUUUGAACAAAUUAAAGUGCUUAAAGCAGGCUAAAUUGCGCUCGCAUACACGCGCAUGGAAUAAUCGAAUAGGACCUCCGUUCUAUUUUGUUGGGUUUUUGUGGAACGACAGACGGAGGUAAUGAUCAAUGGGUGCGGAUGGGGGCAUUCGUAUUGCGACGUUAGAGGUGAAAUUCUUGGAUCGUCGCAAGACGGACUUAAGCGAAAGCAUUUGCCAAAAACGCUUUCAUCGAUCAAGAACGAAAGUUAGAGGUUCGAAGGCGAUCAGAUACCGCCCUAGUUCUAACCAUAAACUAUGCCAGCUAGCGAUCCGCCGAAGUUACUUUUAUGACUCGGCGGGCAGCUUCCGGGAAACCAAAGCUUUCGGGUUCCGGGGGAAGUAUGGUUGCAAAGCUGAAACUUAAAGGAAUUGACGGAAGGGCACCACCAGGAGUGGAGCCUGCGGCUUAAUUUGACUCAACACGGGAAACCUCACCAGGCCCGGACACCGGAAGGAUUGACAGAUUGAGAGCUCUUUCUUGAUUCGGUGGGUGGUGGUGCAUGGCCGUUCUUAGUUGGUGGAGCGAUUUGUCUGGUUAAUUCCGAUAACGAACGAGACUCUGUCCUGCUUAAUAGCCGAAAGAACGCACGAAGGCGCACGCGCGGUGGCACGCUACGCGCGUCGUCGUCCGUGUCGUGUCGUCGUCGUUCGCUCACACACAGGCAUCUUGAAGGCCGGCGUUCCCAGCGUGCCUUCCGCGCGGUCAAACGACCCUCGCCGCCGUCCGCCUCGGCGGGCGGCGUUCGUCGCCGUCCGGUCGCUCAGCGGACGCGCCGGAUAGUCGACCGAACUUGAUCGUUUAGAGGAAGUAAAAGUCGUA
rnacentral:rRNA from 1 species